rnacentral:lncRNA from 10 species
AACAGGGGCUGAACAGGGGAUUGAGUCUCCACGUUUUGGGUUGAAUAAAAAUUGCCAGGUGGAGGUUGUCAGGGGGAAGGUGUUAAAUGGAAACACUAUAUAUAAACUGCAUGCUUUUUGCAAGGGACUGUGGCUUUCCUGCCCAGCCUGCCACCGCUGAACUGUAUAUAAGGUGGUUCUUCUCUUCAGCCCACUGUCAGUGGGCUCCCUCCCCCGUAUGUAAGCCCCCAGCAAACUCCAUUUCUUGUUUGCUGGCUCAGAGCCUCUUCUUUGGCCUCUUAAAAUAGGGGUUCGGCAUGACACCAUUGUGUGCAUAGAGGAGGCACGCGGAGGAGAGCGAACAGACUCCCAAAGUAAAACUUCAUCUACUCCUGAAUUUUGCCUGGACCCCACUCGGGUGGCCACAGGCGUGGAUUCGCAGUUGCGCUAUCUGCAUUGGAGCCCAUCUGCUGCUUUUCCUUGGACAAUGGCUGCCCGUUUAGGGUUGUGACCCAGGAGUCGCUGUGGUUAUCAACUGCGAGAGCUCAAACGGACACAUGAGAAGCAGCUUUGUUUAGCGUCCUUGACAUAACUAACCACAUAUUAACAACAGAGCCUUGUGGUAUAGAGGCUCCUGUUUGUUCAGAAUCUUAAUAGGUGGGCUUUGUGCACAUGGAUUUCUAAUACUGCUUACCCUGUAUUUUAAGUCAAAGAGGGUCUUUGUGUGAAGGAUUCUCCACCUCCUUUUCCCUUUCUACGAAGGAGGCACAAAGCUGAUCAUUCAGUGGAGUCCAUUCUCACCAUGAGAAGAACAUUCUACUGUCAGCAGGCAGAGUGAGGAUGGAGACAUCACUGAUUCACUUGGCUAGUUCCAUGUGGGCAUUCCAUGUCCAUGGAUGAAUGGAUAAGUAACUGAUCCACAAGAGGAGGCAGGACCUAUUCUAUCAAGGAUCGGUAAUUGGGAAUAAGCUUCUCAUUUCAUCCUAAAGGAUUCUGUCACUCCACUGAAAUCUUAAGAGUCUCCAGUGCUUGUUAGGAAAGUGUGGAAGAUGAACCCCUUCUUCAUCCACAGAUCUGCCCUGCCGGUGUUUGACACCCGAGUCUGAAGCUGGCACCUCAUCCAUUCCCUAGUCCUGCCUUUUUGCUCCCCGGGCUCCCUUUCCAGUGCCACCAUCGCCCUCUUUGCACUUCCCUCGCACUCCAUCUCAGAAGCAGACUUCAAGGAGAUCAAAAGAGGCUGCUCCUCAAGGAAGAGCAGGGGUCCUGCGGCUAGAAAGCGGGGGGCAGUCUCUGUCCACACUCAAAAAUCAAAGAAUUAGCCCGACUUAAUCAAACAAAAUAUUACUAUGUUUUCCGAACAACUUAUUCAGCUCAGAGUCAAGCAACUCCACCCCCACCUUCAGCACCAGCCCCCUGGACCACCCAGCAGCCAACAUUGAGGCGAGACCCUCCACCAGCAAAAAGAUUACAACUCACUGGAGACUCCGAUGAUGGUUAGCAUUUUUAGCAAUAAAGUAUUUUUAAUUAAGGCAUGUACUUUUUUUUAGACAUAAUGCUAUUUCACACUUAAUAGGAUACAGUAUAGUGGAAAUAUAACUCAUAUAUACUGGGAAAC